UACAGAGGUCUCAAGCGUUGUUCGGAUUCAUUGGGCGUAAAGGGUGCGUAGGUGGCAGGGUAAGUCGGAUGUGAAAUCCCGGGGCUCAACCUCGGAACUGCAUUCGAUACUGCUUUGCUGGAGUACUGGAGAGGAGAUUGGAAUUUACGGUAGUAGCAGUGAAAUGCGUAGAUAUCGUAAGGAAGACCAGUGGCGAAGGCGGAUCUCUGGACAGUUACUGACACUGAGGCACGAAGGCCAGGGGAGCAAACGGG
rnacentral:rRNA from 1 species